rnacentral:rRNA from 1 species
AGAUUAAGUUAUUAAGGGCGCACGGUGGAUGCCUUGGCACUAGAAGCCGAAGAAGGACGUUACUAACGACGAUAUGCUUUGGGGAGCUGUAAGUAAGCGUUGAUCCAGAGAUUUCCGAAUGGGGAAACCCAACAUGAGUUAUGUCAUGUUAUCGAUAUGUGAAUACAUAGCAUAUCAGAAGGCAGACCCGGAGAACUGAAACAUCUUAGUACCCGGAGGAAGAGAAAGAAAAAUCGAUUCCCUGAGUAGCGGCGAGCGAAACGGGAAGAGCCCAAACCAACAAGCUUGCUUGUUGGGGUUGUAGGACACUCUAUACGGAGUUACAAAAGUAUAUAUUAGACGAAUCAUCUGGAAAGUUGAAUCAAAGAAGGUAAUAAUCCUGUAGUCGAAAAUAUAUACUCUCUUGAGUGGAUCCUGAGUACGACGGAGCACGUGAAAUUCCGUCGGAAUCUGGGAGGACCAUCUCCUAAGGCUAAAUACUCUCUAGUGACCGAUAGUGAACCAGUACCGUGAGGGAAAGGUGAAAAGUACCCCGGAAGGGGAGUGAAAGAGAACUUGAAACCGUGUGCUUACAAGUAGUCAGAGCCCGUUAAUGGGUGAUGGCGUGCCUUUUGUAGAAUGAACCGGCGAGUUACGAUUUGAUGCAAGGUUAAGCAGUGAAUGUGGAGCCGUAGCGAAAGCGAGUCUGAAUAGGGCGUUGAGUAUUUGGUCGUAGACCCGAAACCAGGUGAUCUACCCUUGGUCAGGUUGAAGUUCAGGUAACACUGAAUGGAGGACCGAACCGACUUACGUUGAAAAGUGAGCGGAUGAACUGAGGGUAGCGGAGAAAUUCCAAUCGAACCUGGAGAUAGCUGGUUCUCUCCGAAAUAGCUUUAGGGCUAGCCUCAAGUGAUGAUUAUUGGAGGUAGAGCACUGUUUGGACGAGGGGCCCUUCUCGGGUUACCGAAUUCAGACAAACUCCGAAUGCCAAUCAAUUUAACUUGGGAGUCAGAACAUGGGUGAUAAGGUCCGUGUUCGAAAGGGAAACAGCCCAGACCACCAGCUAAGGUCCCAAAAUAUAUGUUAAGUGGAAAAGGAUGUGGCGUUGCCCAGACAACUAGGAUGUUGGCUUAGAAGCAGCCAUCAUUUAAAGAGUGCGUAAUAGCUCACUAGUCGAGUGACACUGCGCCGAAAAUGUACCGGGGCUAAACAUAUUACCGAAGCUGUGGAUUGUCCGUAGGACAAUGGUAGGAGAGCGUUCUAAGGGCGUUGAAGCAUGAUCGCAAGGACAUGUGGAGCGCUUAGAAGUGAGAAUGCCGGUGUGAGUAGCGAAAGACGGGUGAGAAUCCCGUCCACCGAUUGACUAAGGUUUCCAGAGGAAGGCUCGUCCGCUCUGGGUUAGUCGGGUCCUAAGCUGAGGCCGACAGGCGUAGGCGAUGGAUAACAGGUUGAUAUUCCUGUACCACCUAGUAUCGUUUUAAUCGAUGGGGGGACGCAGUAGGAUAGGCGAAGCGUGCUAUUGGAUUGCACGUCCAAGCAGUAAGACUGAGUGUUAGGCAAAUCCGGCACUCGUAAGGUCAAGCUGUGAUGGGGAGAGGAAAUUGUUUCCUCGAGUCGUUGAUUUCACACUGCCAAGAAAAGCCUCUAGAUAGAUAACAGGUGCCCGUACCGCAAACCGACACAGGUAGUCAAGAUGAGAAUUCUAAGGUGAGCGAGCGAACUCUCGUUAAGGAACUCGGCAAAAUGACCCCGUAACUUCGGGAGAAGGGGUGCUCUUUAGGGUUAACGCCCAGAAGAGCCGCAGUGAAUAGGCCCAAGCGACUGUUUAUCAAAAACACAGGUCUCUGCUAAACCGUAAGGUGAUGUAUAGGGGCUGACGCCUGCCCGGUGCUGGAAGGUUAAGAGGAGUAGUUAGCUUCUGCGAAGCUACGAAUCGAAGCCCCAGUAAACGGCGGCCGUAACUAUAACGGUCCUAAGGUAGCGAAAUUCCUUGUCGGGUAAGUUCCGACCCGCACGAAAGGCGUAACGAUUUGGGCACUGUCUCAACGAGAGACUCGGUGAAAUCAUAGUACCUGUGAAGAUGCAGGUUACCCGCGACAGGACGGAAAGACCCCGUGGAGCUUUACUGUAGCCUGAUAUUGAAAUUCGGCACAGCUUGUACAGGAUAGGUAGGAGCCUUUGAAACGUGAGCGCUAGCUUACGUGGAGGCAUUGGUGGGAUACUACCCUAGCUGUGUUGGCUUUCUAACCCGCACCACUUAUCGUGGUGGGAGACAGUGUCAGGUGGGCAGUUUGACUGGGGCGGUCGCCUCCUAAAAGGUAACGGAGGCGCUCAAAGGUUCCCUCAGAAUGGUUGGAAAUCAUUCAUAGAGUGUAAAGGCAUAAGGGAGCUUGACUGCGAGACUUACAAGUCGAGCAGGGUCGAAAGACGGACUUAGUGAUCCGGUGGUUCCGCAUGGAAGGGCCAUCGCUCAACGGAUAAAAGCUACCCCGGGGAUAACAGGCUUAUCUCCCCCAAGAGUUCACAUCGACGGGGAGGUUUGGCACCUCGAUGUCGGCUCAUCGCAUCCUGGGGCUGUAGUCGGUCCCAAGGGUUGGGCUGUUCGCCCAUUAAAGCGGUACGCGAGCUGGGUUCAGAACGUCGUGAGACAGUUCGGUCCCUAUCCGUCGUGGGCGUAGGAAAUUUGAGAGGAGCUGUCCUUAGUACGAGAGGACCGGGAUGGACAUACCUCUGGUGUACCAGUUGUCGUGCCAACGGCAUAGCUGGGUAGCUAUGUAUGGACGGGAUAAGUGCUGAAAGCAUCUAAGCAUGAAGCCCCCCUCAAGAUGAGAUUUCCCAACUUCGGUUAUAAGAUCCCUCAAAGAUGAUGAGGUUAAUAGGUUCGAGGUGGAAGCGUGGUGACACGUGGAGCUGACGAAUACUAAUCGAUCGAAGACUUAAUCAAUUU